rnacentral:rRNA from 1 species
ACUCCUACGGGAGGCAGCAGUGGGGAAUUAUUGCACAAUGGGCAGCAAGCCUGAUGCAGCCAUGCCGCGUGUGUGAAGAAGGCCUUCGGGUUGUAAAGCAACUUUCAGUUGUGAGGAAGGUGGUGUCGUUAAUAGCGGCAUCAUUUGACGUUAGCAACAGAAGAAGACACCGGCUAACUCCGUGCCAGCAGCCGCGGUAAUACGGAGGGUGCGAGCGUUAAUCGGAAUUACUGGGCGUAAAGCGCAUGCAGGUGGUUUGUUAAGUCAGAUGUGAAAGCCCGGGGCUCAACCUCGGAACUGCAUUUGAAACUGGCAGACUAGAGUACUGUAGAGGGGGUAUGAAUUUCAGGUGUAGCGGUGAAAUGCGUAGAGAUCUGAAGGAAUACCGGUGGCGAAGGCGGCCCCCUGGACAGAUACUGACACUCAGAAUGGCGAAAGCAGUGGGGGAGCAAACAGGAUUCAUAUACCCUGGUAGGCUCGUGC